rnacentral:rRNA from 1 species
GACGAACGCUGGCGGCGUGCUUAACACAUGCAAGUCGAGCGGUAAGGCCCUUUCGGGGGUACACGAGCGGCGAACGGGUGAGUAACACGUGGGUGACCUGCCUUUAGCUCUGGGAUAAGCCUGGGAAACCGGGUCUAAUACCGGAUAUGACUCCGCGGCGCAUGUUGUGGGGUGGAAAGCCUUGUGCGGCUGGAGAUGGGCCCGCGGCCUAUCAGCUUGUUGGUGGGGUGAUGGCCUACCAAGGCGACGACGGGUAGCCGGCCUGAGAGGGCGACCGGCCACACUGGGACUGAGACACGGCCCAGACUCCUACGGGAGGCAGCAGUGGGGAAUCUUGCGCAGUGGGCGAAAGCCUGACGCAGCGACGCCGCGUGAGGGAUGACGGCCUCGGUGUAAC